GAUGAACGCUAGCGGCAGGCCUAACACAUGCAAGUCGAGGGGUAACGUGAGUGCUUGCACUUGACGACGACCGGCGCACGGGUGCGUAACGCGUAUAGAACCUACCUUUAACUGGAGGAUAGCCCAGAGAAAUUUGGAUUAAUACUUCAUGGUAUGUAUUUGUUGCAUGACAUUAUACAUUAAAGAUUUAUCGGUUAAAGAUGGCUAUGCGUUCUAUUAGCUAGUUGGUAAGGUAACGGCUUACCAAGGCUACGAUAGAUAGGGGUCCUGAGAGGGAGAUCCCCCACACUGGUACUGAGACACGGACCAGACUCCUACGGGAGGCAGCAGUGAGGAAUAUUGGACAAUGGAGGCAACUCUGAUCCAGCCAUGCCGCGUGCAGGAAGACUGCCCUAUGGGUUGUAAACUGCUUUUAUACAAGAAGAACCGGUUUCUCGUGAGAAACCCUGACGGUAUUGUAAGAAUAAGGAUCGGCUAACUCCG
rnacentral:rRNA from 1 species